rnacentral:tRNA from 1 species
AAUAAAUCAUGCAAAAAAGAAUUGCGCCUGUUAAUUUUUUUUUUCUUGCC